rnacentral:lncRNA from 1 species
AAGAAAACUAACAUUCAACAAAAAUAACAUGGAAGACCUAUUUGGAUGGAGGAGUUUGAUAUCUUUGAUCGCUCUGACCUGCAUUAAUACUUUUAUCUUGCAACGAUCCACGAUCUGAAGGUUGUGGAGUUGUAUUUGAUUGGGAUAAAACUGUUUUCUUCAGGUCUUCAAACAUAUCAAACAUUUCAUCAUAUUUUCUUUUUAAAACUCGAUUAUCCUGUAAAACAUUUAAGAUUCAUUGAUAUUUAUGUAUUACUUUAAAAUUUUAUUGACUAUCAUACACAUACCUCUAUUAAUUUCUCCAUUUCAGCAAAAUCUAAAAAACUUUUCAAUCCACUUUGAAAUUUCAUCAAGGUUGAACUUUCAAACAACCAUGAUUUGUAAAGCCCUUCUAUUUGAUCAACCAUUUUAGUCUAUCUUCUAACAUACAAAAAAGAUACCUCUUAAAAAUUGAUAUUUAAAUAAAAAAAGGUUCAAACAUUUCAAGAUACCUCUUAAACCAACAUUUCUAAUUCUAAAGGUAAAAGGGCCUAAAUAUAAUAUUACAGGUUAUUCUGAAUAAUUUAACUCAAUGAUACUACAAUUAAUAUAAUUUAAAUCCUCUAAGAAAAACUCAUCCAUAAAAAUAAAAUAAAAUAUCCUAUUACGAGUAAUAAAAAAAAUUAUGAAUUAAAACUAUGAAACUACUUGUGAAUAUCAACAUGUUAAACUAUGAAACAAAAUCAAAAAUAUUAAAAAAACAGACAUGAAUUAAACUGACCAAAUUCAGAAAUCAAAUCAUAACAUUUAAAAUAAAUUUUACAAAUUAUUUCAUUCAAAUUAUAAAUAGUAAUUUUACCUUGUUCUUGGAGAGCAGUGUCCUGAUUUUCUUCAGUAAUCAAGAACCAAUUAAUUUUUUUCAGUAAUAAAAAUGAAGAGCAGUGUCCUGAUUACAAAGAUCAAGAAAGAAAAAUAAGAAAUAAGAAAUGAAAAAUGAAAAAUGAAAAAUGAAAAAUGAGGAAGAUACUUAGAUAAAUCAACUCUAAACCAAAAUAAAACUAAACCAAAGCAUACUAAUCAACUCUAAAUCAAUUGAAAAAGAAAUUUAAAAGCUUAAAAAAAAAACUAAACCAAAACAGCCCAGUCGAAAAAUAAAUCAUCAUCGCCAACUUCCUUAAUUAAUGAUGGAGAGUGGAAGAUGGCGAGUGGAAAAAAACAGACAUACAUACUGAUAGACCAAGACGAGUACAUCGACACUAAUUUAAAAUCAUAUCCCGAUAAUCAUCAUCCAUCUCUAUUAACAAAGGAUCAAAUUUCUGACCAUAGUGUUCAUACUCAUCUAGAACCCCUGAACCUUGGAUAAUGAUCAAGAAAAUGAAUGUUGUAAAUAAUUCAAACAAAUAUGCAGAAUGCCCUAGUUUUGAGGAUUGGGUAGUGAGUGGUAUGGAUAAUGCUACUACUAACACGUACACUAACUCAUAUUUAGAUGAGGAUUUAAAAAAUAAAAUAACAAAACAAGCAUUGAUUUUAGUGGUCUCUAAUUAUAACGACAACUGUUCUUAAGAAAGAUCUAACUUCAAUGAAUUAAGCUGGUAAAUAUUAUUCAAACAAACAGCAAUGUGAACCUGAUUUGUCCUCUCUCUGAACACUAGCAUAUGCCUAAUUAACUUUGAUAGGUUGGCCAAACCUGCAAAUUAACAAGAUUAAAUGAUACACUUCAAAACUCCAAAUAGCACAGUGAAUAUUGUUUAUAAAAAGCCAUUUGAAGCAGAACAGUAAUUAAUUGCUUAUAGAGUUACAUAUAUAUGCAUUUAAGAAGCAUGAUACUCACCAUUAAAGAGUUUUAAAGACUUUACUUGAUUUUUAAAAGUGUUAAAAUCUUUAAAUUUGUGCCUAAAGAUGUUAAAGACAGACUAGUAUGUUUUUUGUUGAAUUUAGUAAUCGCCAAGGGACAGAGAACAGAUGUUGUCUCUAAUUAUUGUACUGCUGUUUCUAAUCUCAGAGGUACUAGGAUUAAACCAUCCAUUACAGUAUUAAACCAUCUUAAACCAGUCACAAGUACCAAAAUCAUUAAAAAACAAAAAAGAUGCAAGUCUGCAAUACGGUAAAAGAAAAGAAAAUCACACACAAAAAAAACACGCACACGAAAGAAAAUCAGAUGAAACUCUCGGACGACAAAAAGACUAAACUAGCUAGCACUUACCUGGACUUGCCGCACUGGACUGGAGUGUUAUGACGAACGAGAUUGGGGGAGUUGAUCGAGAACGCUGGUGGUUGAGAAGGAGAUUGGGAGAAAGAAAUUGGAGGAAAUGAGAUUGGGGAAAUGAUAUUGGGGGAAAUGAAAAAAAAUGAGGGAAAUAUUGGGGAAAAUGAAAUAG